ensembl:lncRNA
AUACAACUCCAAGUUCAAUACAACUCCAAGUCCAAUACAACUCCAAGUCCAAUACAACUCCAAGUCCAAUACAACUCCAAGUCCAAUAGAACUCCAAGUCCAAUAGAACUCCAAGUCCAAUACAACUCCAAGUCCAAUACAACUCCAAGUCCAAUAGAACUCUAAGUCUAAUGCAACUCUAAGUCUAAUGCAACUCUAAGUCUAAUGCAACUCCAAGUCUAAUGCAACUCCAAGUCUAAUGCAACUCCAAGUCUAAUGCAACUCCAAGUCCAAUAGAACUCCAAGUCCAAUAGAACUCCAAGUCCAAUAGAACUCCAAGUCCAAUACAACUCCAAGUCUAAUGCAACUCUAAGUCUAAUGCAACUCUAAGUCUAAUGCAACUCCAAGUCCAAUACAACUCCAUGUCUAAUGCAACUCUAAGUCUAAUGCAACUCCAAGUCUAAUGCAACUCCAAGUCUAAUGCAACUCCAAGUUCAAUACAACUCCAAGUCCAAUAUAACUCCAAGUCCAAUACAACUCCAAGUCCAAUACAACUCCAAGUCUAAUGCAACUCCAAGUCUAAUGCAACUCCAAGUCUAAUGCAACUCCAAGUCUAAUGCAACUCCAAGUCUAAUGCAACUCCAAGUCCAAUAGAACUCCAAGUCCAAUGCAACUCCAAGUCUAAUGCAACUCCAAGUUCAAUACAACUCCAAUAUAACUCCAAGUCCAAUAUAACUCCAAGUCUAAUAGAACUCCAAGUCCAAUAGAACUCCAAGUCCAAUACAACUCCAAGUCUAAUGCAACUCCAAGUCUAAUGCAACUCCAAGUCCAAUACAACUCCAAGUCCAAUACAACUCCAAGUCUAAUAGAACUCCAAGUCCAAUACAACUCUAAGCCAAUACAACUCUAAGCCAAUACAACUCCAAGUCCAAUACAACUCCAAGUCUAAUACAACUCCAAGUCCAAUAGAACUCCAAGUCCAAUAGAACUCCAAGUCUAAUACAACUCCAAGUCCAAUACAACUCCAAGUCCAAUAUGACACUCAUCUGUUUUGUUAUCUGUCCUUCUGUCCUGGAGCGAUAGAGAUGUGUUUAGAAUAAGCCAUUGUUAGUGACCGUUGUUUAUAUUAUUUUUUUAAGCGGACAGAACCAAAAUGGAACACAGCAACUGACAAGACCCAUGGUGCAACGGUGCCUGGCCGCUGUGACAGCCGUUGUGAUGGGAUGCUACAUUAUUAUAUUAUUUUCCCAGAAUGCAUUUGCAUUGUGCACGGACCCUACUCCUCAUCCACCAGUCAAUCUAUUGCUGUUAUGGCUUUGGGAAAUACUGGAGUGACUCUAUGAAACCUGCUCAGUGUAAAACAACAUGGGACAGAAGGAGAACAAGGAAGGGAAAGAAAAUAAAUUGUGUUGCAUGCUCAGAAAUGUAAUAGAUCAAGAAAACUCUAUGUGAAAAUCGGGGACUUUAGUGAAAAGAAAAUGACUAACAUAAAAAUUCCUCAUUGCUUAUUAUGCUAAUUUAACUGGGCCAGAAUUACAUAUCAUGAUAAUGUCCUUUGGAGGAUUUCAAUAAUAUAGCACGUUUCAUGUAAUAACCAUCAAAACCAAAAAUCUAAAGAUACUAGUGCAAAACAAUAAAGAUCAUAUAACAACAUCAUUAAAGCAAAAUUACUUGGCAGAAAAGAAGAGCGGCAGGAUAGCAGUUUAGCAUGUGGUGGGACAGAAGGAUGGCUAAACUCUCAUGGCGUCACAGGAAUGAUUUCAGGGGUGGACCUUUGGAAUAGGGGUAAUAAUAAACAUAUUUCACAUCAAUCCAAAUGGCGUUCUUAGAGUGGAUAAUCACACAAAACAUCUUCCAUUUCAUUUUCA